UGAUAUGUUAGUUCAAAAGAUAGAGUACUUAGGAGCUAGUCAUAUAAAUAAUAAUAUAAAAAUAAGAAGAUGUGGUAUGAUUGCCAAGGAGACUCUCAACUAAGGACCAAAUAUCUUUUAAAAAGUUUACAACUACAGGUCACUGUCCUACCACAUACUUAGCUAUAUACGGCCCUGAAAUGUAAAACAAUCCAAAUCAGAAAACUAAGUCCUGAUUUAUUUACACAACAAUAAAUGAAAAACAAAAACAAACAACAACCACUGAUUCCAAACAACAACCACUGAUUCCAUGUUCCCGACCUGGGGCAGGCAUAUAUAAAGUGAUAAAUAAACUUUGCCCAGACACAUUAUUAAGCUGAUUGAUUGCUUUUAUUCUCAAAUGCUAUGCUUGAGGCAGCAACUAUCAAUUUUCAAGUCUGUUUUUGCAAGGCUUAGAAUGGGUAACACGAAUGACCGAAUAACACUUGAAAUUUUAGUAAGCACAUAUUGGUGACUUUUUAAUAUUUAUUUACAGAAAGCAGAUAAGUUCAUAAAGAUCAUUUUAAAUCUUAUGUGUACACC
rnacentral:lncRNA from 1 species